GGACUACCAGGGUAUCUAAUCCCGUUCGCUCCCCUGGCUUUCGCGCCUCAGCGUCAGAAGGGGUCCAGCACGCCGCCUUCGCCACCGGAGUUCCUGCGGAUAUCAACGCAUUUCACCGCUCCACCCGCAGUUCCGCAUGCCCCUACCCCCCUCGAGACCUCCAGUAUCCGCGGCAGUUCCCCGGUUGAGCCGGGGGAUUUCACCGCGGACUUGGCGGCCCGCCUACGCGCCCUUUAAGCCCAGUGAUUCCGAACAACGUUCGCACGGUUCGUCUUACCGCGGCUGCUGGCAC
rnacentral:rRNA from 3 species